AAGAAAAUUUUGGUGGACGGGAGGAGUCUAGUGAGGAGGAAGAGGAAGACAUUCCCGAAGCCAACACUCCCGAACAUGAAGGUGACACUUGUGAUGAUGAGGGCGACGCCGACGAGUGAAGGCCCAUGGAAGGGCCUCCCCUUUUUGGCGCUUGAUGCCAAAGGGGGAGUGACGCUCACCAUGGAUGAAAUGGAGAUGUGGUGGAUGUAUCUUAGCUUAUCUUUAUCCUUUAUAGUGUGGCUUGUGGACUUAUAAGUGUGGUGUGAUGAUUGGUGCGUGCCAAGUGAAAACCUUAAGUUUGUAAGACAUAUUUGCUAUGCUAGUGUGGUUUAUAUCUCCUAUUUGCUAUGUGAUGAGUAGUUUAUAUCUUUGGUAAUGUAUUGUUCCUUUUUCCUUGUUGAAGUGCCUCAUAUUGUCAUAUGCAUCACGUUAUUAUUCUUAUCACACACUUGCACCCCCA
rnacentral:lncRNA from 1 species